rnacentral:rRNA from 1 species
CCGAUUAAUGGCUUAGUGAGGCCUUCGGAUUGGCUUCUGGGAGCUGGCAACGGCACCUAGUCGCUGAGAAGUUUGACGAACUUGGUCAUUUAGAGGAAGUAAAAGUCGUAACAAGGUUUCCGUAGGUGAACUGCGGAAGGAUCAUUA